UUUCAGGUUUCCCAACUCACCCAUCACCCCAAAAGGUUGAAACAGAAAUUAUAACAAAGUUUUCAAUGCUGUUUUCAAAUCCAGCCCAGGCAUUAACACUGCGAGUGAACCAAGAUCAAACUCUAGUCCAGAAAGUUCAAUCAGAGUUGAACUGAAAUGUCGAACAAAGAUAAAAGCCAAACUAUUCUCAUAUGAACAGCAUUUCCAACUGCGAAAAACAUGCACACACUAGUCAUCACCUAUUUCAAUCAAUUUUUCAAAUUCCUAGGACUUUUAACAGUCACAUCUACACUUGCCAGUGUGGCUACCCAAUUCAAUGCCUUGAAUCU
rnacentral:lncRNA from 1 species